rnacentral:rRNA from 1 species
UACUCCGCCGGCGACCGGCGCACGGGUGCGUAACGCGUAUGCAACCUACCUUUAACAGGGGCAUAACACUGAGAAAUUGGUACUAAUUCCCCAUAACAUUCGAGAAGGCAUCUUCUUGGGUUAAAAACUCCGGUGGUUAAAGAUGGGCAUGCGUUGUAUUAGCUAGUUGGUGAGGUAACGGCUCACCAAGGCAACGAUACAUAGGGGGACUGAGAGGUUAACCCCCCACAUUGGUACUGAGACACGGACCAA